CCACUUCCACGUUAACCGACCAUGCACGCCGAUCAGCUAGUACCGGCGGUUGUCGCCACCGUGGCCGUGCUGUGCCUGCUCAUCGCCGGCCGUGCGGACGGCCAGGACGAGUACAUCCCUGCUGCCGCGGGGAGCCAAGAGGUGGAGCCGCAGCCGGGGCUGCUGCCGGGGGCCUCCCUGGCCAAGGCGUUCACAGGCGGCUACUUCCCGCAGCAGCCCAAGGCCGAGCCAGAGCCGGAGCAGACGACCACGGAACCGGAGCCGGAGCCGGAGCAGACGACCAGGGAACCGGAGCCGGUCACGCCCACGCGCGACCAGGGCGAUUUCUACCGCACCGGCGUGACCCCGACCGCGCCGGAGCCGCCGGCGAUGCUAACCUCCCCGGAGACGUGGGAGAAGCCAUGGACGCCAUUUGUACCGCAGACGUCGGCGUUUGUUCCCAAGACGCCGGCGUAUGUGCCCAAGACGCCAUAAUUACCAUGGGCCUUAAAAUUAUUCCCUCCAUCAUGGUUUAAAAGCGCGUGUUUGAAAAUUCUCUCGAACCUAUGUGGUUAUUGAUUGACUGUGAGAUGGACAGAAAAAUAGCAUUCACAAUCGCAUGCAUAUAAAAGUAGUACUACAACGGAAUACUAAUUAGCUGCUAAGAGUAAAUGCAAUGCGCCUUAAACCUUGUUUAUUAUGGAAAUGAACGUAAAUUUAACCGUGCCUUCUAAACUGUGACGAAGGAAAUACAGACGAUGUAUCGAGGCUGAUGGGUCUUUUAAACCCGAACGAAAAUAGUAUUUAAUAGGUCUAAUCAUAGAAUAUACAUGUGCAUCAUCAUCACAUCAGUACCAAUAGUAACAUAAAACAUGACCUACAAAGAUAGACGAUCAUGAGGCAACACGAUAGAGAGAUGGAACUACUCCUCCGGUUUAGCAACAAUGAAACCGAGAAAGAUAAAUCUCCCAUCACGUCCAUGGCGGAGCACGAAGAUCAUCAUGUCUUCAAUAUCUAUGUCGUACAUACGACUACUUUGCUCCACCCAUUAAGAACUAUGCUUCCAUCUCCUUGUCACGAAUACGAGUAUGAAGUCGAACCGAGAUGUUAACACUAGGAUGGAACACAAUGGUUAUAGCUCUUCAUUUGCACUCAUCUCCUUAGGCACAGUAUUCACUCUGUAAUAAGCUAUCAAAAUAUUUGUAAAUAAGGUCACUUAAAUAUAGCAUCCGGAUGAAAUGUGAUUAUUUAAAUCUAGCUGUAAAUAUGGUUACUUAAAAUUAAUUGCUGGAUAUUUGCCAGAAUCAUUACACGGAUGAGUUAUUGUAUAUCACUAGCAAAAAGACCCGUGCGUUGCAACGGGAGAAAAAAAUCACCAUCUUCAAUGGCAAUGACCAUAUUAUGUUCAUAUCUCAUCGCAUGAUUUCAAAAACUUGUUCACAAAUGUAAGAAAAUAUUUCUUUUAUUUUAUUUUAUUCACAAUUCACAAGUUGAAACAAUGUUCAUAUUUUAAAAAAAAUAUCAUGGUUAUCAAAAAACUUGGUAACUCAAAGAAUUAUUCUGAAUUUCAAGAAACAUUUUAAAAAAUAUAGUAUAAUAUUCCGAUCCAUCAUCACAAUUAAUUCUUCAAAAUUCACUCAGGUAUAUAAUCUGAAAGACUCAGAAGCAUUACUAUUGAACGCCAUACAUUCGAUCUUUCGUGAACAUUUUUACAAAUUUGGGAAUAUUUUUAAAAUCAAGAACAUUCUUUACUAUUUAUAAACAUUUUUUUAAAAUUACAAAUAAUAUUUUAUAUUACAAACUGUUUUCAAGUAUUUUCUUGGGAAUUGGCGAAUAAUUCAUUUUUUGAAUUAUCCAACAUUUUUUUAAUUGCAUUAAAGAAAUUGCUAAAAAUGAUGGACUUUUUUUAUUCACGAAUGUUUUCUCCAAAAUUACGAAUUUUUUAAUAUGCAAUUUUUUUUACAAAAAUCCUGAACAAUUUUUUGAAUUCGCAAACAUUUUAUAUUUUAUCAAACAUUUAUGUAAAUAUUUAUUUUUUAAUUUCGAAAGUUUUUGUUGAUUUAUUUGAAAUAUAAAAAAUAAAAAGUAACAGAUAAAUAUUAAUUAAAAAACUAAAAAAAAGGCACCUGCCCAUGGGCUGGCCCAAAUGGGCGUGGUGCUUAUUUUCCAACGAGCAGAGCGUAGUAUAGCUGGUCCCUAUGCUUGGGCCGGCCCAUGCGAGAAUUACCUGCAAAACGUUUUUUAUAACUUAUAGGUGGCAUUGAUGGGUAAUUUUAAAGAAUUUUAGAGGCAAUUUUAAUAACGUACCACAGAAGCAAUAGGUGCUUUAUUAAUAGGGAUAGAUUGCUCAAACGUACUUAGAGGUGACGAUUAGGUUUUCCACCUAGUUCGAGGGAUAUCUCCACACGUACUUCGAACUGAUAUAUUUUGACAACUUCUUUCCAAAUACGUCAUGUGAAAAAUGUCUUAUCUUUUUAGUUCUAGACCCUGCAUACUCGAAAACAAAAGCUCUCUCAUGUCUUAGAUCUAUUUAUAACUUUACUCAUAUGCACUAUAACCCGUAGCAAUUACCUUUGUUUACACGUAUGAGGAAUUAGCAUGUGUGUUUGUCCACGUUCUUCUUAUCUUCUUCCUUUGGCAGUUAGGCCAUCCAUUAUUGUUGGCAAUAACAUGGUUUAGGACAUCCAUUUCAAUGUGGUUGGUGUUAGACAUUGUAUUACGUAUACACAUGGUAUAUGUAUAAACCAUGUGUAUUACGAUUGUAGGCAUGCGUGUGUGGUUUAAACUAGGGAUAUCUUGUUAGGGUCUAUCUCUUGUGUUUAACCUUGUAGAUAGAGAUAGAUCCUAACUCCUUGUUGUAAUCUCCUAGGUCUUGUGCCUUUAUUAACACGCACGUGUCCCUGCUAAACGCAUACGCUUCAGGCCUUUCUAUUCUCACAUGGUAUCAGAGCCUAUCUCGUUGCAAAACGGUUUGAACAAUGUUAUGGUCUUGAUUAUGAGGAUACUUUAAAUCCCGUUGUUAAAGCCGCCACCAUCAGAUUGGUUCUGUCUAUAGCUGUCUCUAGGAAUUGGUGUAUGCGACAGUUGGACGUUAAGAACGCGUUUUUUGCAUGGUGUUCUGGAAGAGAAUGUUUUUAUGCGACAGCCACCUGGGUAUACAGAUUCAAGGUUUCCGCACUUGGUCUGUAAACUGGAUAAAGCUCUGUAUGGUCUCAAACAGGCUCCCCGUGCAUGGUACUCUCGCUUGUCUUUCAAGCUUCAGUCUCUUGGUUUUCAACCCUCCAAGAGUGAUACCUCACUGUUUUUUUAUUCUCGGAGAGGGGUGACUAUCUUUAUGCUCAUAUAUGUGGAUGACAUUAUUGUUACUAGUUCCUCUGUACAAGCAGUUGAAGCCCUCCUCAGUGAUCUUCGCAUGGACUUUGCACUCAAAGAUCUUGGAUCCCUCCAUUAUUUUCUUGGUAUUGAGGUAACUUCUACUGAUAAUGGUAUUGCUUUAUCUCAAGGGAAAUAUUUGCUUGAUUUGCUUCAACGAGUCAAUAUGAAUGGUUGCAAACCUGUCAGUACUCCUUUGUCUACUUCUGAGAAGUUGUCUUUGUUUGAUGGACAUCCUCUUGGAGAUGGAGAUUCUACCAACUAUCGCAGUGUUGUUGGUGCUUUGCAAUACUUAACUCUUACUAGACCAGAUAUUUGUUGUUCGGUCAACAAGGUAUGUCAAUUCUUGCAUGCUCCAACCUCUGUUCACUGGACGGCAGUCAAACGUGUACUUCGUUAUUUACAAGGCACUAUCACCCAUGGUCUGCGUAUAUCUAAGUCUCAUUCCAUGUUAGUCAGCGCAUUCUCUGAUGCAGAUUGGGCUGGUUGCCCUGAUGACAGAAAGUCUACUGGUGGUUUUGCUGUUUUUGUUGGUAGUAAUCUUGUGUCUUGGACUGCACGAAAGCAACCUACAGUUUCUCGCUCCAGCACAGAGGCUGAGUACAAAGCACUUGCUAAUGCUACUGCCGAGGUAAUAUGGGUAUAGAACCUUUUGACUGAGCUGGGUAUUCCUCAUCCUAAGUCUUUCUCCCUAUGGUGUGAUAAUUUAGGAGCUACAUACUUAUCUGCAAAUCCUAUUUUUCAUGCACGGACAAAGCAUAUUGAAAUUGAUUAUCACUUUGUCCGUGAGAGAGUGGCUCAGAAACUGCUACACAUACGGUUUAUUCCCACUGGUGAUCAAUUGGCUGAUGGCUUUACUAAACCUCUUACUCUUCGCCAGAUGGAAGUUUUUCGUCGCAAUCUCAACUUGGACAAGUUGUGAUUGAGGGGGAGUGUUAGACAUUGUAUUACGUAUACACAUGGUAUAUGUAUAAACCAUGUGUAUUACGAUUGUAGGCAUGCGUGUGUGGUUUAAACUAGGGAUAUCUUGUUAGGGUCUACCUCUUGUGUUUAACCUUGUAGAUAGAGAUAGAUCCUAACUCCUUGUUGUAAUCUUCUAGGUCUUGUGCCUUUAUUAACACGCACGCGUCCCUGCUAAACGCAUACACUUCAAGCCUUUCUAUUCUCACAGUUGGUUCGAAAAAUAGCAGUGGCCACCAAUCCAUGCCGAAAUUAGCAUCUCUAUCCCGGUACAUAAACACGUACGCGCCAGCAUGCAAAAAAUUCUAAACCACCCACUUCCACGUUAACCGACCAUGCACGCCGAUCAGCUAGUACCGGCGGUCGUCGCCGUCGUGGCCGUGUUGUGCCUGCUCAUCGCCGGCCGCGCGGAUGGCCAGGACGAGUACGUCCCUGCUACCGCGGGGAGCCAAGAGGUGGAGCCGCAGCCGGGGCUGCUGCCGGGGGCCUCCCUGGCCAAGGCGUUCACAGGCGGCUACUUCCCGCAGCAGCCCAAGGCCGAGCCGGAGCCGGAGCAGACGACCACGGAACCGGAGCCGGAGCCGGAGCAGACGACCAGGGAACCGGAGCCGGUCACGCCCACGCGCGACCAGGGCGAUUUCUACCGCACCGGCGUGACCCCGACCGCGCCGGAGCCGCCGGCGAUGCUAACCUCCCCAGAGACGUGGGAGAAGCCGUGGACGCCAUUUGUACCCAAGACGUCGGCGAUUGUUCCCAAGACGCCGACGUAUGUGCCCGAGACGCCGGCGUUUGUGCCCAAGACGCCAUAAUUACCAUGGGCCUUAAAAUUAUUCCCUCCAUCAUGGUUUAAAAGCGCGUGUUUGAAAAUUCUUUCGAACCUAUGUGGUUAUUGAUUGACUGUGAGAUGAGCUGAAAAAUAGCAUUCACAAUCAAAUGCAUAUAAAAGUAGUACAACGAAAUACUAAUUAGCUGCUAAGAGUAAAUUCAAUGCGCCUUAAACCUUGUUUAUUGUGAAAAUGCACGUAAAUUUAACCGUGCCUUCUAAACUGUGACGAAGGAAAUAUAAACGAUGUAUCGAGGCUGACGGGUCUUUUAAACCCGAAAGGAAGUAGUAUUUAAUAGGUCUGAUCGUAGAACAUAUAUGUGCAUCAUCAUCACAUCAGAACCAAUAGUAACAUAAAACAUGACCUACAAAGAUGGACGAUCAUGAGGCAACACGAUAGAGAGACAGAACUACUCAUCCUCCGGUUUAGCAACAAUGAAACCGAGAAAGAGAAAUCUCCCAUCACGUCCAUGGUGGAGCACGAAGAUCAUCAUGUCUUCAAUAUCUAUGUCGUACAUACGACUACUUUGCUCCACCCAUUAAAACCAAUAUUUCCAUCUCCUUGUCACGAAUACGAGUAUGAAGUCGAACCGAGAUGUUAACACUAGGAUGGAGCACAAUGGUUAUAGCUCUUCAUUUGCACUCAUCUCCUUAGGCACAGUAAGUUGUGGGAGUAUCUGGUGAGAGAACACAAUUUGAACACUUUAAGGAAUCUAGAUAAUUGCCGGAGUAUCUGAAGAUAAUGAGUAUGUUGUCAAUAUUGGCCUUGUUCAAACAGUAUUGCGGGGGCAUGUAGGAAUGAUCUCUCGGUCCAGCAUUGUAACCAUUCACGAGCCUUCAAAUUUGAUCAACAAAGCCGAUGGCAAACCUCAUCUCUUCCUAGCUUACUCAUCUUCCGUCAUUAACCUCCAUAUUUUCUAUAAAGUGUUUUGUUACAGUAUUCACUCUGUAAUAAGCUAUCAAAAUAUUUGUAAAUAAGAUCACUUAAAUAUAGCAUCCGGAUGAAAUGUGAUUAUAUAAAUCUAGCUGUAAAUAUGGUUACUUAAAAUUAAUUGCUGGAUAUUUGCCAGAAUCAUUACACGGAUGAGUUAUUGUAUAUCAUUGCUCAAACGUAGACGAUUAGGUUUUCCACCUAGUCCGAGGGGCAUCUCUACACGUACUUCGAACUGAUAUAUUUUGACAAAUUCUUUCCAAAUACGUCAUGUGAAAAAUGUCUUAUCUUUUUAGUUCCUGACCCUGCAUACUUGAAAACAAAAGCUCUCUCCUGUCUUAGAUCUAUUUAUAACUUUACUCAUAUGCACUAUAACCCGUAGCAAUUACCUUUGUUUACACGUAUGAGGAAUUAGCGAAACACACGUUCUUCAGUUAGGUCAUCCAUUAUUGUUGGCAAUAACAUGGUUUAGGACAUCCAUUUCAAUGUGGUUGGUUCGAAAAAUAGCAGUGGCCAUCAAUCCAUGCCGAAAUUAGCAUCUCUCUCCCGGUACAUAAACAGCGUACGCACCAGCAUGCAAAAAAUUCUAAACCACCCACUUCCACGUUAACCGACCAUGCACGCCGAUCAGCUAGUACCGGCGGUCGUCGCCGCCGUGGCCGUGUUGUGCCUGCUCAUCGCCGGCCGCGCGGACGGCCAGGACGAGUACGUCCCUGCUGCCGCGGGGAGCGAAGAGGCGGUGGAGCCGCAGCCGGGGACCGCCGCAGCCGGCGGCGAGGAGUACGUCCCGCAGCCGGGGUUGCUGCCGGGGGCCUCCCUAGCCAAGGCGUUCACCGGCGGCUACUUCCCGCAGCAGCCCAAGGCCGAGCCGGAGCCGGAGCAGACGACCACGGAACCGGAGCCGGAGCCGGAGCAGACGACCAGGGAACCGGAGCCGAUCACGCCCACGCGCGACCAGGGCGAUUUCUACCGCACCGGCGUGACGCCGACCGCGCCUGAGCCGCCUGCGAUGCUAACCUCGCCGGAGACGUGGGAGAAGCCGUGGACGCCAUUUGUACCCAAGACGCCGUCGUAUGUGCCCCAGACGCCGGCGUUUGUUCCCAAGACGCCGUCGUAUGUGCCCCAGACGCCGGCGUAUGUGCCCCAGACGCCGGCGUUUGUGCCCCAGACGCCUGCGUACGUGCCCAAGACGCCGGCGUACGUGCCCCAGACGCCGGCGUACGUGCCCCAGACGCCGGCGUAUGUGCCCCAGCAGCAGAGUGGCGGCGGCGGAUCGUACGCUGGCGGGGGCGGCAACAAGCAGGUGGACGACGACGGGGAGCCGGUGGACGGGCUGAGCCCCAAGGCCAUCGACAACAUCCUCAAGGAGCACAACGCUUUCCGCGCCAAGGAGCACGUGCCCCCUCUCACGUAAGCUAGCUACCACUACUAGACAAUGCAUGCAUGCAUGCAUCCCGCGGCGGCCGGAGACGAUGAGGAUGACAACUCCGGCGAAGCUGAUGGGAUGGAUGGAUGCAGGUGGAACGCGACGGUGGCGCAGUACGCGCAGCAGUACGCGAACAAGCGCAAGGGGGACUGCGCGCUGAAGCACUCGACGGGGCCGUACGGGGAGAACCUCAAGUACGGGGAGGGCAAGGCGUGGACGUGGCGCCACACCGUCGACGAGUGGAGCGAGGAGAAGAAGAACUACCACUACGGCUCCAACUCCUGCGACGCCGGCAAGCAGUGCGGCCACUACACCGCCGUCGUCUGGAAGGGCACCACCGGCGUCGGCUGCGGCCGCGUCACCUGCACCACCGGCGACACGCUCAUGGUCUGCAGCUACUACCCGCCUGGGAACUACGACGGCGAGAAGCCAUACUAAUAAUAAUCCAUCUUAUCAAUCGGUUAAUUAACUUAUUAAUUAUUACUUCUUUCUCAAGUAGUACGUAGUACUACUCAGGUAGUACAAUGCAUUUUUGUCUUAAUCUUUCUUGCACAUACAUAAUAUGUGCAUAAGUUAGCAAUCUUUUUCCUAACAAAUUAAGCCUCGCAGCUGCUGCAUGCAUGCUGUAGAAAAAUAGUACCAGGUACUGUAUUUUGUUUUUUUUGAGCUUUACCAGGUACUGUAUUUCGUUGGCAAGAACAGCUUAUGAUGUAUAUUUUUUUUUACCGAAAUAAUGUGCUUUGUUUUUUGGCAGUAGAGAGAAUACUUACUCUCCUACGAAAGUAGUUACUUUUAUGCAACAAUUGAAAGAGGCAUGCGGUCCUAUAGCUUUGUAAAUUGAAUCCUCUUUUCAAGAAAAAUGGUCGAGUUGUUUUUUUCUGACUUUAAGGAAGACCUUUCAUCCAUCGACCGGAAAGAGAUUCAUACAAGCCGGACAGAAACAUUUACAUUUUGAAUAUGUUUUAAUUAAAAACUAAAACUAUGUGCACGGUUCGGCCUCGCGAAGUUCCAUUUCUAUGACACGGAUAUGCUACGCUAGUCUACGGCCGGUCACGAUGGAUUCUUUUAUUUUCUCCAUAUCCGACAGCCCAGUCAUCGCACCGUCGGGGCCCUGGAGAUACGUUCUUCCUCCUUAAUUAUCUUCUCCAUGUCCGGCUACGCCGUUCAUCAGAGUGGACAAGCACGGCUAGAGGGAAAAUGAUAUGACUUUUUAAUAGGCAUUUCAUAAUGAAUGCUAUCAAGUUGACAAAUUAAGAUGCAUAAUGUAAUAGUAUGCGUUCUUUGGUAUUAUGUCGAUUUUUAGUAAAUAGUUAUAUAACGCCAUUUUUUAAAAUGAGUUGUAAAAUGUUAGCACUUCUAGCUCUUACAUAAUAAGAGCAUCUACGAUCGGACCCAUAUAUCCGUCGGACAGGUUGUCCGGUCAGUAACCGGUUAUAAAAACACGAUCCAACCGGAUGUUAGCACUUCUAGCUCUUACAUAAUAAGAGCAUCUACGAUCGAACCCAUAUAUCCGUCGGACAGGUCGUCCGGUCAGUAACCGGUUAUAAAAACACGAUCCAACCGGAUCUCUCAUAUCCUUCUCAAACGUCCGUACUGACCGGCACCUUUCAUAUUCAUCUCAAAUAUAAUGAUGAUAUGAGGGGCUCGCGGACGCCCCGAACAAACCCGACCAGUCAACUAAGUAGGGCACGACUCCAUCCGGGACCACAUUUUCUCUUUCUUUAUUCAUUCUUUUUUUUCUUUUAUUCUCCAUCAAUCACGUGUAAGUGACCAAGUGAGCAGACAUAUAAAAAAAAUAUAAUUAUACGGACAAAAAUAAAGGUUUAAAAUAAACACGCCCGGUCAUUAAUCGGACGCAUCGACGGAUGAAUAAUUGGUCAUAUUUGCUAUGGCAGGCUCGUAGAUGCUCUAAGCUGGAUCAUUGAAUAAUCAUAUGACAUACGAUUAAAAGGACGUUGCUCCCGAUUGAGGACUGUGCUAGUGGUUUGUAAAAAAUAUUAUCUUUAAUUCUCUUUUUUUUUCCAGUGGUCACCUGUUGUGGUACUACCAAAUGUGGUAUAUGAAAUCCUAUUUAACCCUCAUGUUGCAAGGUUAAUUCCGAAAUUAGUUUUGUCAUUUUCCAUCCACAACCUUGGUGGGGCUAGAUGCCCCUAGCUUGCCCCUAGCUUGCCCCUAGCUUGCCCCUUGGUGUAGUAGGAGGCAGUGCAUGCCCUAGUCCGUGUCAUCCCAAGGUCCGGUCCGGUCGAUGGAGCGCCUGCAGAUCGAUGCAUGGAGCAAGAGACAGUACUGCUAGCAUACACAUAACGCAUGGCUUUUUGCGUAGCUCCGUGCAUGUAGCUGCGCCAGCGAAGUGACACGACGCAUGCAAGCUAGUCGUGGAAAGACGAGCAGCCAAAGCUAGCUGGUGGCCGGAGCAGUAGACACAUCAAGUGCAGGUGGUUCAGGCAGGGCCUCUGGUCGUCCUCCCCUCUGCUUCACUUCACCUCACCUCUCUCUUCUCUGCCUUCCCUCCCACCCGAUGGCGCGCCGCCGCCAUGCCGUCGUGGUCGUCCUCUUCCUCGUGAUCCUCGCCUCCAGCGCCGCCGCCACCGAGGUGCGCGCGUAGCACCCUCGUCGUAAUUAAUCAUGCAUGCUAGAUUGCGCGCGAGCUGGUGGUUUGCUGAUCCUCUCCCNNNNNNNNNNNNNNNNNNNNNNNNNNNNNNNNNNNNNNNNNNNNNNNNNNNNNNNNNNNNNNNNNNNNNNNNNNNNNNNNNNNNNNNNNNNNNNNNNNNNGGAUAUUUGCCAGAAUCAUUACACGGAUGAAUUAUUGUAUAUCACUAGCAAAAAAGGCCCGUGCGUUGCAACGGGAGAAAAAACCACCAUCUUCAAUGGCAAUGACCAUAUUAUGUUCAUAUCUCAUCGCAUGAUUUCGAAAACUUGUUCACAAAUGUAAGAAAUAUUUCUUUAUUUAUUUUAUUCACAAUUCACAAGUUGAAACAAUGUUCAUAUUUAAAAAUAUCAUGGUUAUCAAAAACUUGGUAACUCAAAGAAUUAUUCUGAAUUUCAAGAAACAUUUUAAAAAUAUAGUAUAAUAUUCCGAUCUAUCAUCACAAUUAAUUCUUCAAAAUUCACUCAGGUAUAUAAUCUGAAAGACUCAGAAGCAUUACUAUUGAACGCCAUACAUUCGAUCAUUCGUGAACAUUUUUACAAAUUUGGGAAUAUUUUUAAAAUCAAGAACAUUUUUUACUAUUUAUAAAUAUUUUUUAAAAAUUACAAAUAAUAUUUUAUAUUACAAACUUUUUUCUAGUAUUUUCUUGGGAAUUGGCGAAUAAUUCAUUUUUUGAAUUGUCCAACAUUUUUUUAAUUGCAUUAAAGAAAUUGCUAAAAAUGAUGGACUUUUUUUAUUCACGAAUGUUUUCUCCAAAAUUACGAAUUUUUUAAUAUGCAAAUUCUUUUACAAAAAUCCUGAACAAUUUUUGAAUUCGCAAACAUUUUAUAUUUUAUCAAACAUUUAUGUAAAUAUUUAUUUUUUAAUUUCAAAAGUUUUUGUUGAUUUAUUUGAAAUAUAAAAAAUAAAAAGUAACAGAUAAAUAUUAAUUAAAAACUAAAAAAACAGGCACCUGCCCAUGGGCUGGCCCAAAUGGGCGUGGUGCUUAUUUUCCAACAAGCAGAGCGUAGUAUAGCUGGUCCCUAUGCUUGGGCCGGCCCAUGCGAGAAUUACCUCCAAAACGUUUUUUAUAACUUAUAGGUGGCAUUGAUGGGUAAUUUUAAAGAAUUUUAGAGGUAAAUUUAAUGACGUACCACAGAAGCAAUAGGUGCUUUAUUAAUAGGGAUAGAUUGCUCAAACGUACUUAGAGGUGACGAUUAGGUUUUCCACCUAGUUCGAGGGAUAUCUCCACACGUACUUCGAACUGAUAUAUUUUGACAACUUCUUUCCAAAUACGUCAUGUGAAAAAUGUCUUAUCUUUUUAGUUCUUGACCCUGCAUACUCGAAAACAAAAGCUCUCUCCUGUCUUAGAUCUAUUUAUAACUUUACUCAUAUGCACUAUAACCCGUAGCAAUUACCUUUGUUUACACGUAUGAGGAAUUAGCAUGUGUGUUUGUCCACGUUCUUCUUACCUUCUUCCUUUGGCAAUUAGGCCAUCCAUUAUUGUUGGCAAUAACAUGGUUUAGGACAUCCAUUUCAAUGUGGUUGGUGUUAGACAUUGUAUUACGUAUACACAUGGUAUAUGUAUAAACCAUGUGUAUUACGAUUGUAGGCAUGCGUGUGUGGUUUAAACUAGGGAUAUCUUGUUAGGGUCUAUCUCUUGUGUUUAACCUUGUAGAUAGAGAUAGAUCCUAACUCCUUGUUGUAAUCUCCUAGGUCUUGUGCCUUUAUUAACACGCAUGUGUCCCUGCUAAACGCAUACGCUUCAAGCCUUUCUAUUCUCACAUGGUAUCAGAGCCUAUCUCGUUGCAAAACGGUUUGAACAAUGUUAUGGUCUUGAUUAUGAGGAUACUUUAAAUCCCGUUGUUAAAGCCGCCACCAUCAGAUUGGUUCUGUCUAUAGUUGUCUCUAGGAAUUGGUGUAUGCGACAGUUGGACGUUAAGAACGCGUUUUUGCAUGGUGUUCUGGAAGAGAAUGUUUUUAUGCGACAGCCACCUGGGUAUACAGAUUCAAGGUUUCCGCACUUGGUCUGUAAACUGGAUAAAGCUCUGUAUGGUCUCAAACAGGCUCCCCGUGCAUGGUACUCUCGCUUGUCUUUCAAGCUUCAGUCUCUUGGUUUUCAACCCUCCAAGAGUGAUACCUCACUGUUUUUUUAUUCUCGGAGAGGGGUGACUAUCUUUAUGCUCAUAUAUGUGGAUGACAUUAUUGUUACUAGUUCCUCUGUACAAGCAGUUGAAGCCCUCCUCAGUGAUCUUUGCAUGGACUUUGCACUCAAAGAUCUUGGAUCCCUCCAUUAUUUUCUUGGUAUUGAGGUAACUUCUACUGAUAAUGGUAUUGCUUUAUCUCAAGGGAAAUAUUUGCUUGAUUUGCUUCAACGAGUCAAUAUGAAUGGUUGCAAACCUGUCAGUACUCCUUUGUCUACUUCUGAGAAGUUGUCUUUGUUUGAUGGACAUCCUCUUGGACAUGGAGAUUCUACCAACUAUCGCAGUGUUGUUGGUGCUUUGCAAUACUUAACUCUUACUAGACCAGAUAUUUGUUGUUCGGUCAACAAGGUAUGUCAAUUCUUGCAUGCUCCAACAUCUGUUCACUGGACGGCAGUCAAACGUGUACUUCGUUAUUUACAAGGCACUAUCACCCAUGGUCUGCGUAUAUCUAAGUCUCAUUCCAUGUUAGUCAGCGCAUUCUCUGAUGCAGAUUGGGCUGGUUGCCCUGAUGACAAAAAGUCUACUGGUGGUUUUGCUGUUUUUGUUGGUAGUAAUCUUGUGUCUUGGACUGCACGAAAGCAACCUACAGUUUCUCGCUCCAGCACAGAGGCUGAGUACAAAGCAAUUGCUAAUGCUACUGCCGAGGUAAUAUGGGUAUCGAACCUUUUGACUGAGCUGGGUAUUCCUCAUCCUAAGUCUGCCUCCCUAUGGUGUGAUAAUUUAGGAGCUACAUACUUAUCUGCAAAUCCUAUUUUUCAUGCAAGGACAAAGCAUAUUGAAAUUGAUUAUCACUUUGUCCGUGAGAGAGUGGCUCAGAAACUGCUACACAUACGGUUUAUUCCCACUUGUGAUCAAUUGGCUGGUGGCUUUACUAAACCUCUUACUCUUCGCCAGAUGGUAGUUUUUCGUCGCAAUCUCAACUUGGACAAGUUGUGAUUGAGGGGGGGUGUUAGACAUUGUAUUACGUAUACACAUGGUAUAUGUAUAAACCAUGUGUAUUACGAUUGUAGGCAUGCGUGUGUGGUUUAAACUAGAGAUAUCUCAUUAGGGUCUAUCUCUUGUGUUUAACCUUGUAGAUAGAGAUAGAUCCUAACUCCUUGUUGUAAUCUCCUAGGUCUUGUGCCUUUAUUAACACGCACGCGUCCCUGCUAAACGCAUACGCUUCAAGCCUUUCUAUUCUCACAGUUGGUUCGAAAAAUAGCAGUGGCCACCAAUCCAUGCCGAAAUUAGCAUCUCUCUCCCGGUACAUAAACACGUACGCGCCAGCAUGCAAAAAAUUCUAAACCACCCACUUCCACGUUAACCGAUCAUGCACGCCGAUCAGCUAGUACCGGCGGUCGUCGCCGCCGUGGUCGUGUUGUGCCUGCUCAUCGCCGGACGCGCGGACGGCCAGGACGAGUACGUCCCUGCUGCCGCGGGGAGCCAAGAGGUGGAGCCGCAGCCGGGGCUGCUGCCGGGGGCCUCCCUGGCCAAGGCGUUCACAGGCGGCUAUUUCCCGCAGCAGCCCAAGGCCGAGCCGGAGCCGGAGCAGACGACCACGGAACCCGAGCAGACGACCAGGGAACCGGAGCCGGUCACGCCCACGCGCGACCAGGGCGAUUUCUACCGCACCGGCGUGACCCCGACCGCGCCGGAACCGCCGGCGAUGCUAACCUCCCCAGAGACGUGGGAGAAGCCGUGGACGCCAUUUGUACCCAAGACGUCGGCGAUUGUUCCCAAGACGCCGGCGUAUGUGCCCCAGACGCCGGCGUUUGUGCCCAAGACGCCAUAAUUACCAUGGGCCUUAAAAUUAUUCCCUCCAUCAUGGUUUAAAAGCGCGUGUUUGAAAAUUCUUUCGAACCUAUGUGGUUAUUGAUUGACUGUGAGAUGAGCUGAAAAAUAGCAUUCACAAUCGCAUGCAUAUAAAAGUAGUACAACGAAAUACUAAUUAGCUGCUAAGAGUAAAUGCAAUGCGCCUUAAACCUUGUUUAUUGUGAAAAUGCACGUAAAUUUAACCGUGCCUUCUAAACUGUGACGAAGGAAAUAUAAACGAUGUAUCAAGGCUGACGGGUCUUUUAAACCCGAACGGAAGUAGUAUUUAAUAGGUCUGAUCGUAGAACAUCUAUGUGCAUCAUCAUCACAUCAGUAUCAAUAGUAACAUAAAACAUGACCUACAAAGAUGGACCAUCAUGAGGCAACACGAUAGAGAGACAGAACUACUCAUCCUCCGAUUUAGCAACAAUGAAACCGAGAAAGAGAAAUCUCCCAUCACGUCCAUGGCGGAGCACGAAGAUCAUCAUGUCUUCAAUAUCUAUGUCGUACAUACGACUACUUUGCUCCACCCAUUAAAACCAAUAUUUCCAUCACCUUGUCGCGAAUACGAGUAUGAAGUCGAACCGAGAUGUUAACACUAGGAUGGAGCACAAUGGUUAUAGCUCUUCAUUUGCACUCAUCUCCUUAGGCACAGUAAGUUGUGGGAGUAUCCGGUGAGAGAACACAAUUUGAACACCUUAAGGAAUCUAGAUAAUUGCCGGAGUAUCUGAAGAUAAUGAGAGUAGAUAUAAUUCUAACCAUGAGUAUGUUGUCAAUAUUGGCCUUGUUCAAACAGUAUUGCUGGGGCAUGUAGGAAUGAUCUCUCGGUCCAGCAUUGUAACCAUUCACGAGCCUUCAAAUUUGAUCAACAAAGCCGAUGGCAAACCUCAUCUCUUCCUAGCUUACUCAUCUUCCGUCAUUAACCUCCAUAUUUUCUAUAAAGUGUUUUGUUACAGUAUUCACUCUGUAAUAAGCUAUCAAAAUAUUUGUAAAUAAGGUCACUUAAAUAUAGCAUCCGGAUGAAAUGUGAUUAUUUA
rnacentral:lncRNA from 1 species